UACGAAGGGCCCGAGCGUUAAUCGGAAUCACUGGGCUUAAAGCGUGCGUAGGCGGGUCGGAAAGUACUUUGUGAAAUCCCUCGGCUCAACCGAGGAACUGCUUGGUAUACUACCGAUCUUGAGCAUGGUAGGGGCGGUCGGAACGAUAGGUGGAGCGGUGAAAUGCGUAGAUAUCUAUCGGAACGCCGAAGGUGAAGACAGGCCGCUGGGCCAUUGCUGACGCUGAGGCACGAAAGCGUGGGGAGCGAACGGGAUUAGAUACCCGCGUA
rnacentral:rRNA from 1 species